rnacentral:misc_RNA from 1 species
GGCCACUCUACAGUCCCUCUUCUUCUUCCUCUUCUUCUUCAACCUUCCCGGGGCAGAGCAUCGAAUAUGCAAGAAAAAUGGGAGAAAGCCACCAACAAGCAGCUGCAUCGUCGAGACUGGGGACAAGGAACACAGGAGGCGAGAUAGUUGAGGUCCAAGGAGGCCACAUUGUCCGCUCAAUCGGAAGAAAAGACCGCCACAGCAAGGUCUGUACAGCAAAAGGCCCCAGAGACCGCCGCGUCCGGCUUUCAGCCCAUACUGCAAUCCAGUUCUACGACGUGCAGGACCGCCUUGGCUAUGACCGCCCCAGCAAGGCCGUUGAUUGGCUAAUCAAGAAAGCCAAGGCUGCCAUAGACGAACUCGCUGAGCUACCCGCGUGGCAUCCUACUACUGCAACCACCACCGCCACCACUCAAACUGGCAUCCAACAGGAUCAGUUAACUGAUCAGAGAGAUAAUCGCCUUCCCAUGGAGAAUCUUGCUGUCGUAGGCGGUUCUGGUGGUGUCAGUACAAGAACAGUAGCAGCAGCAACAACCACAAUAGCAACAGCAGCAACAAUGGGAGCAGAUAUUCAAAAUAUGGAGCAGCAGCAACAUCUGGCAGAAAAUCCCAACAAUAGUUCCGGUUUUCUGCCACUAUCUCUAGACUCGGAUGCCAUUGCAGAUACAAUCAAAUCUUUCUUCCCAAUGGGUGCAUCGGCGGAGACAUCAUCCGCGUCAAUACAUUUUCAGAACUACCCACCAGAUUUGCUAUCAAGGACCAGUAGCCAGAACCAAGAUCUGCGGUUGUCACUACAGUCAUUCCAAGAGCCAAUUCUUUUGCAGCAGUCACAUCAUGGUCAUACUCAAAAUGAACAGCAAGUUUUGUUGUCUGGAACUGCCCAUGAUCUCGGAUUUGACGGUGGGUCUUCUGCUGGGUGGUCUGAGCACCACCAGCAUCACUCAGCAGAAAUCAGCAGAUUCCAGAGAAUGGUGGCCUGGAAUGUUGGUGGUGCAGCCGAAACUGGUAGUGGUGGAGCUAAUGGCAGUGGUGGAUUUAUCUUCAACCCGACACUGUCACAAACGGUAUUGCCGCCGCCACUGUCGCAGCCGUUUUUUGGCCAAAACCAGUUUUUUUCUCAGAGGGGAACCCUUCAGUCCAGUAUCACGCCUUCAGUUCGUGCUUGGAUAGAUCCAGGAAUCACCUCCAAUCACCAUCAGCACAAUCAAAUCCCACAAAUCCAUCAGCAACAAUCUUUGAUGUCAGGCGGAGGAUUUGCCGCGUCCGUUGAUGGAUUCUCUGGGUUCCGCGUUCCAGCACGAAUUCAGGGCGAAGAAGAGGAGCACGACGGCAUCCACAACAAGCCGUCCUCUGCUUCCUCUGAUUCUCGCCAUUGAUUGAGCGAAAAACCCAAAAAUCUUAUCUUUGAUAGGUCUGCUACAAGACAGCGAGGAACAUGGAUUCAAGACUAGUUUGGAGGAUAUAUUUUGGCCCAUUUGAAAUGGUUCAAUGGCAAAAACCAUGGGAAGAGAAAGAUCUGAGUGCAUUUUUCAGGUUUUUCGAUUCUGGGUUUGUUCUAGCUCUCUAUGGUAUUAUUCAGUUCUAGUGUUUGUUUCACGUUCAAUUUUGAGUGGGCUUUCAAAGCUCAACUACGUUUGAUCUCUGUGUUGGAUUGGGUGUAUGUGUUUAUGUUGCUAAUAGUGUUGUGUAUGUGAUGGAUGCUUUAUUGUUUUCCAUUCCAUUUCUAGAGUGAACUGAUAGAAGCAGAACUGCUUUGCUUUAAUGAAAGAUAGUCCUAUUUUUCCCUUAUUAGAGGAGACCUGGUAGGCAUAAUAAUGACAUUAUUUCAAAAAAUUUAUCACAAAACAAAGCAAACCCAGAUCAUCAAAUAUAGAAAGUUUGCAGCAAUUUGAUUAGAGCUGGUUGUUGCUUUCUUUUUUAUCAAACAAAGUUUUGGGUCUUUUCCUCUGUUUAGAAAUGGUCUAUUUAUAUUAUUUUAUUUUUAUUUGUUUCAUGCCGAUGAAAGAGGGAUUCCUGAAAAUGUGAUUGUUUUUGUUUGUUGCUUUACUGAUUUUUCAUGCCUCAAACUACUUCCUAAAUUCUGCAAAAAGAAUUGAAAGAAUAACCGAUGUUUAACAUCUCUAUCAUUGCUUACAUUUCUGGGAGCAUUGAACAAGAAGUCAUUUUCUAUCUACAGUGGAAGCUGUUGGCAAUGGAUUAGAAUGGGAGCUGGAAAAGAAAUUGGAGAUUUGAAUUUAUAAUUCCGCGGAUAUUUAUGUUUUUAAGUGUCAUUUAGUCCAUAUUUUGUUCCGUUUUGCUAUAGCUUUUAUUAGGCUUUUAUGUGAAAGAACUAGGGUGAGUUCAACUAUAGAAGGGGAAGCAAGACGAAAGAUUGAUCAAUUUUUAUAACAAAAUUUCAAGCUGCAGUAGUGCCAUGUUAGAAAACACAUUUUACCGGAAAUGGUAAAGUUUGAAUUCUUUUAUAGAGCCUUCAUGAGAUGGAGCUUAGGUGUAAUUUUAGAACCUAUACUUGCGAUAGGGUGUGUUUGGAUGAGUAGCUGGGAGCAAAAGGUUACUGGUUCAAUCGGCUGCCGUCAGUAGCUAAUGGCAACGAGCAAUGCAAAAUCUUUUAGAACUGUGGAGGAUGCGACUUGAAAAACAAGUGCCCGCAGGUUGCAUUUGCAUUAAGAUCAGGUGGUAAAGGAAUCUGAAGGUCAUGGUAUGUGACUUAGGUAAGUCUAGAUAAAUUUAGCAGCAGGUAGAUCAAGUGGGGCUGAAUGGAAUACUUCUGCAGGGGGAACCAUGAGAGGGGAAUGGGAUGAACACAACAAAGCUCAAUUAUGGAAGAAUACACAGAUGGAUACCACCAAAUUUGUGCUACUUUGCCACAUGUCUUUUGGUCCCCCCUCCCUAUACUCUGUUAAUCUUAGUCCCUCAUAAAAAUCCUUCUCCAGCCUAGCUGGAAUUUUUCGUCCAGGGAAAACCACACAAAUGUGAAAGUGUAAUACUUGGCUUCAAUUGGGAUGCUGACAUUUGCCUUUGUACUGAUCUGCUACUUCUUUAUGCCUGAUUGAUAAAUGCCGCAGUAGGAGUAUCAUAGUUUAUAUAAUACACAGGUUAAUUAUUUUAUGAAAAUUUUAGCAUGAUCGUUAGGGAACUAGAGGACAUUAGUUCAGCAACUCGUCAAAUUCUUUGUUUUUUCAUUAGCGAGUUUUGACUUGAUAAUAUUGAAAUCAUUUCCACGAGAAGAAUAUGCCAAUUAAUGGAUAUUUAAAAUAGUGAUUCUGAAGAAAAAUGCAGAGUUCAAUGGGUUCAGGGAUAUGCAAGAUUUUGUUGGGAUGUAGCUGUUGUUUGCCUAGCUAUAUGGGCACGAAUUAGGAUGAUAAGUAAUUCAUGAUAGGACAAAAAUGGUAAGGUGACAGUUAAAACGUUUCCCUGCACUAGUUUGGUGCUCCAUACCUCGAUUUCUGACCCUC